GACAGAGGUGCCGAGCGUUAGGCGGAAUCACUGGGCUUAAAGCGUGUGUAGGCGGAUCGUUAAGUGUCUUGUGAAAUCCCACGGCUCACCCGUGGAACUGCUGGGCAUACUGGCGAUCUUGGGCCAACUAGGGGCAACUGGAACAAGCGGUGGAGCGGUGAAAUGCGUAGAUAUCGCUUGGAACGCCAACGGUGAAAACAGGUUGCUGGGGUUGUGCCGACGCUGAGACACGAAAGCCAGGGGAGCAAACGGG
rnacentral:rRNA from 1 species